UAUGAUUGGAAUACUGGAUUAUUCAUUAAAUAGCAUUUCAAUGUACUGCCUAUGUUGAGAUGACUCAGAAAGUUAGAAGUUGAAAUAAUGCAGUUUACCACUUCAUUUAGGCACUUUACAAACAUUAACGUAUAAUAAAAAUGUGAAUAACUGACAUUUUAUGUCAGUGGUGGUAGAAACGAUAAAUGCACAUAAUGAAGAGAACAAGGAAACAAAUCGAGUAUGUUUUACUCUAUGUGAAUUAUUUAUUCAUGUCAAACAAUUCUGUAGUACACAGUAUACUUGUAUAGUGCAUGGUACCAACUCUAGAAGGACAAAACUAUGCAUGUUUAGUGAUCUUCAAGAUGCUACACAAAAAUCCAAAUUUGGUUCAUGCUACAGAAUUGUAUGAAGCACAUAAGCCACUUCAAAAAGGACAUGGAGGAAGAAAGACCCACAGAAAACAAAAACUCUGAAGUACUUGGAGAAGUAGUCAGGAGUCUUGAUCAGAUGAUCACAGUCUUCAACAGAGAGUUUUUCCUCGAAUUCCAAACAGUCUGUGUUGUUGCCUUCAUUCUGUUCAACUACUUCACCCAUUAGGCUACAGCUGUGUGGUUAAAUGUCAAGAUAGAGAGAAAAGCAUGUCCUGCCAAUGUGGAUCCUCAACUCUGAACAUUCACUACCAGGGAGAAGCAGGAAGAGUUUCUGCAUCCCAUUUGAUUCUGCGCAAAGCUUUCUCUUGCAUAGGGCGAACAUUCAGUCGGUUCUACCAAGACAGGUGAGGGGAAGUGUCUGUCAAAUGAGAUGGAUGUUAGGACUCCCACACUGUCAUAAUGGCAGAGUUUUGGGGAGGAGGGAACUUGGCUGAUUGAAGUAGGCCAUUGUUGAUUAAUGCCAGUCCAUAAUCUGGUAAUACACUGAUGUACUUUGACAUAGACCGAUCAUGUAAUUGGCCUGGGCACAGCAGGAUGACUUUGUAGUUCGUUCAGCACACUGCUAUAAAACCAGCAGUCCUCCUUGUGUUGUUUCAGGGUUGUGCUUGUUUAGAGUUCUCUUGAGCCCUAUGAAACUCAUUUGAUGAGGGUGUGAUAGCCAGUGUUCACUUCUCAUGUGAUCCCCACAUGAGUACACAGUACCAAACUGGAGGAUUAGUUCACUUAUGGCUUCUGUCAAAUCUCAGCAGCCAGUAAUUUGUAAAUCUGAAAUGAGCAUCUCAUUACAAAUAUUAAUAAUAAUCCUCGUGAUUGAUAGAGCGUUUUACCACAUGCAUUCACACUGCUGGUCUUUUCUUUGGAACAUAUGGUUGUAAUAUUGAGCCGAAUAUUGUAAUAUUGAGUCACUUUGCAGAAAUUGCACAGGCAGAUGUUUUAAUUUAUUUCUGUUAAUUUUCACUUGCCAGCUAUGACUAUAGUGGAAAUAAUGUAAAUAUUUGUAUAUUCAAUUUAAAAUUUAAGCUCAGUUAUUUGACCUGUACAUUAUUUUCUUAGUCUUCAAAUAAAUUAUUUUGUCAUU